CCACCAUUAGUUUCGCAUGGUAGGUCAUAGCAGAUUGUCUGUCAUACAAUCUAAUAACAACAAUGUAUUGAGACUUCCUGGUGUUGCUUUUGAAAUAUUGUUUCUGUCACAGUCUAUCCAUGACCAGUCUUGUGAGUGUGUUGUGGUUUGGCCAGUCUCUCUGUGUGUGGUGUGGGUGUGGUCUUCCCAGGUUCCUGGCUCUCAGCACAGCUGCUGACUAUCUGCCAAUCAAGCCCUGGCUUAAAGACUCCGUACACCUGACUGUCAGCGCCAGAUUGUUGUUCUCACUUCAGUGCGCCUGGGAUCUCCGCUUGCUACACCAUUUGCCACUCCGCCCGCCACGCCAAGGCCACUACUACUGGACCUCUAGUCAACCACGCUAUCUUCGCUCCCGCAGACCAGCUCCGGAUCAUUCGCCGACACUGUUCCACUCAUUGUCUAUAUUAUCAUUAAAACCCUCUUCCGAACCUCA